UACGUAGGGGGCUAGCGUUGUCCGGAAUCAUUGGGCGUAAAGAGCGUGUAGGCGGCCUGGAAGGUCAGCUGUGAAAACUCGAGGCUCAACCUCGAGACGUCGGUUGAAACCACCUGGCUAGAGUCCGGAAGAGGAGAGUGGAAUUCCCGGUGAUAGCGGUGAAAUGCGCAGAUAUCGGGAAGAACACCCGUGGCGAAGGCGGCUCUCUGGGACGGUACUGACGCUGAGACGCGAAAGCGGUGGGGAGCGAACAGG
rnacentral:rRNA from 1 species